ACAACUGUAGGAAGAAGGAGACUGGCUGGAAGCGGUUCUUUGCACAGUGUGUCCCUUGCAUUUGCGACUGCGCUUUAUCAUGUGCAUCUGCAGGCUAACACACACAGAGAGAGACGACAGGCAAAGAAGAGAUGCAAACCAGCUGUAAAUCAGAGUCGCACUAUGUUUUUGCUGCCUAAUCCAAUUGCAUGGACGAAUGAAUGGACUCAAAUCUGGAUGUUUUGGGGCACUAAUUUAAUCUCUCCGGCACAAUGACGCCAACAGUUUCCCCUUGUUUUCUUUAUUUUGGGAUUAUAUACUAUGACAAGAGGAUUUCAGUGCCUGAGGUUGAGACGGCUCAGUCAAUGUGUGUGAUGUUUGGUGUCGAGAGCAUCAGAAAAUAAAAGUGAGACGAAUCUGAAUCCAUUCCAAGUGUCUGAGACUAUGUCAGACUCGGGUCAAACAAGUAUUUGAAAUGCAAAGUGACUUCAAUUGACUUCAGUCAGUUGAUGAAAGAGAGGCUUAUUUUGUGUAGACAAACGGUCAACAGGGCAGUAUGUGGUAGCCCAGACAGCAUUCUCUGAUUGCUUGAUUUAAUCUGGUGCUAAAUAUAAUGUCUUGUCACAAAUUCCAUCUACCAGGAAUAGCUCACAUGCUCUAUUUCACAUGCAUGUGCGCGGGAAAAAAAACAACGAUAAUGGCGAGUAGAAAGGGAAGUGAAACCACGGAGAUUAGCGUCUCUGCCUCACCACUCCUCCUCUCAGUCCAUCUGUCCUGGAAGGAGCUGAAACCAUAAUCUUGUUACAAAGGGCGCAGCUUUGGUCAGGGGUCAGAGUUAACACGGUCAGUGUUGUAGACCUUGUCAGCAAACUGUAUUUAUUUUACCAAUUGUGUUGUAUUAUAUUUAUUCCAGAAGUAUAGCUCAAAUAUACAUUUGUUGUACAAUUAAAUCUUUAUUUUUAUAUUUUGUAGAUGGAUUUUAGAGAUAUGAAAUGAUGUCUAGUGCAUUUGUAAUGAAUAAAAUGAACAAAAAUCCUA